rnacentral:rRNA from 1 species
GGUAUUUAACCAGAAAGCCACGGCUAACUACGUGCCAGCAGCCGCGGUAAUACGUAGGUGGCAAGCGUUGUCCGGAUUUAUUGGGCGUAAAGCGAGCGCAGGCGGUUUUUUAAGUCUGAUGUGAAAGCCUUCGGCUCAACCGAAGAAGUGCAUCGGAAACUGGGAAACUUGAGUGCAGAAGAGGACAGUGGAACUCCAUGUGUAGCGGUGAAAUGCGUAGAUAUAUGGAAGAACACCAGUGGCGAAGGCGGCUGUCUGGUCUGUAACUGACGCUGAGGCUCGAAAGUAUGGGUAGCAAACAGGAUUAGAUACCCUGGUAGUCCAUACCGUAAACGAUGAAUGCUAAGUGUUGGAGGGUUUCCGCCCUUCAGUGCUGCAGCUAACGCAUUAAGCAUUCCGCCUGGGGAGUACGGCCGCAAGGCUGAAACUCAAAGGAAUUGACGGGGGCCCGCACAAGCGGUGGAGCAUGUGGUUUAAUUCGAAGCUACGCGAAGAACCUUACCAGGUCUUGACAUACUAUGCAAAUCUAAGAGAUUAGACGUUCCCUUCGGGGACAUGGAUACAGGUGGUGCAUGGUUGUCGUCAGCUCGUGUCGUGAGAUGUUGGGUUAAGUCCCGCAACGAGCGCAACCCUUAUUAUCAGUUGCCAGCAUUAAGUUGGGCACUCUGGUGAGACUGCCGGUGACAAACCGGAGGAAGGUGGGGAUGACGUCAAAUCAUCAUGCCCCUUAUGACCUGGGCUACACACGUGCUACAAUGGAUGGUACAACGAGUUGCGAACUCGCGAGAGUAAGCUAAUCUCUUAAAGCCAUUCUCAGUUCGGAUUGUAGGCUGCAACUCGCCUACAUGAAGUCGGAAUCGCUAGUAAUCGCGGAUCAGCAUGCCGCGGUGAAUACGUUCCCGGGCCUUGUACACACCGCCCGUCACACCAUGAGAGUUUGUAACACCCAAAGUCGGUGGGGUAACCUUUUAGGAACCAGCCGCCUAAGGUGGGACAGAUGAUUAGGGUGAAGUCGUAACAAGGUAGCCGUAGGAGAACCUGCGGCUG